GAUGAACGCUAGCGAUAGGCCUAACACAUGCAAGUCGAGGGGCAUCACAUGAGGCAGCAAUGCCGAUGGUGGCGACCGGCGCACGGGUGAGUAACACGUAUGCAACCUGCCUUCAACAAGGGGAUAACCCGUUGAAAAACGGACUAAUACCCUAUAAUACAGGGGUCCCGCAUGGGGAUAUUUGUUAAAGAUUGAUCGGUUGAAGAUGGGCAUGCGUUCCAUUAGCUAGUUGGCGGGGUAACGGCCCACCAAGGCAACGAUGGAUAGGGGAACUGAGAGGUUUAUCCCCCACACUGGUACUGAGACACGGACCAGACUCCUACGGGAGGCAGCAGUGAGGAAUAUUGGUCAAUGGACGCAAGUCUGAACCAGCCACGUCGCGUGAAGGAAGACGGCCCUACGGGUUGUAAACUUCUUUUAACGGGAAUAAAGUGCCCCACGCGUGGGGUUUUGCAAGUACCGUAUGAAUAAGGAUCGGCUAACUCCGUGCCAGCAGCCGCGGUAAGUCACU
rnacentral:rRNA from 1 species